rnacentral:lncRNA from 1 species
UUUCAUAUGAAAAAACAAUGGGAUAUUUUCACGUGUCUUUAAUGAUCUUAAUUUAAAAUUCGGAAAGGAUCCACAUGUUUUCUCCUUUUCUUUUCCGCGUGACCCUCUCUUUCCCUUCCUCUCUCUUUCCUUUCCGCGUGACCUCUCUCUUUCCUCUCUUUCCCUUUUCUUCUCAAUUAUUUUCCACAUCUCUCUCCUUCACAUACUCUCUCUCUCUCUCUCAUCUUCUCUCUUCUUCUCCCUCAAACCGAAGCUUUCACUUCUCCUCUGCAACCUAAGACAAAUCACCAAAGUCGACGAACCGACGUUCAAAUUACCACCAUCGUACUCCUUUCAUCCUCACGAACUCAACCAUAUAGACGGAAUCAAGAACAAGUGAGUUUUGGAAGUCGAACUCGGAAGCUCCGAUCGGUUCGAAAUUUUCCCGACGAAUUUCCGGGCUAGUUACAAGGUUUUGGAAGGUUUAGAAGUCACCACACAACUCCCCAAGGUCGCUAGUACAAGUUUGAAGACAAGCGAAUGUGAAAAAGCACGAGUUCGAAAAAUUAAAGUUUGUGCCGUGAGGUUCCAAGCCAUUUUCAAACAAUUUAUCCAUAAAUAUAAAUAUAUCGAAUGUAACAUUUCUAACACUAAAUAAAUAAUUUAGAAAUAAAAUUUAAUUAUCUUAAUAUGUAAAAUAUUUUAUUAUUGAAAUAAUUAAUGGUGUUUAUUAAAAUCAAGAGACCUUGAUUAAAAAUUAAAAAAGAAUAAGAUUUUAAUCAAUAGAGUUGAAAAAAAGAGAGAUGAAAACCUAAUUUCUUUUUUUAUUUUUAUAUUUUAUUUUUAAUGUUGUUAGGUGAGUUAACAGAAUUUAAAGGGAAGUUAGUGGUAAACAGGCGUCAAAAUAUGAGAGGCCACGUAAAAUUUUGAAUGCAAAAGAUUUGAACUCGAAAAGGAAGGUGAGGUGAGCAGGUAUGGGAUAAUAAAAGAAACGCGCUUGGAAGUAGGUUUGGUCACUUCUCUCUCUUAAAUACUAGUGUUUGUACCCGACCCCACCAUCCCCCAUUUUUUAAAAUUUAAUCAAAAAAUUUGAUGUGUGUGAGAAAUAAAACAAGAUGUCUAGAUAUCACAUUUCUAUUUCUUUUAUUUGGCCUUGUCUAAGUGCGCGGAGGGAGGUCCCAUCCCAUGUGUCCCUUCUAUGGCCAUUUACCAUUGCCGUCCACUAGCACUAGCAAACUUCCUCCAUCAGGAGGAAAUUCCAUCUCUCUCUCUUUUAAGUCCUCCACUAGGGAUAUACUAUAACCUUUCUUCCGUUUGAAUGCAGAUUGUUUCUGCGCUGAAAGUGCGCAAUUUCGUCUUUAUAUUUUUUUAUGUUUUGUGUUGUUUUAUCUCUGAUGACUCUCUUGGAACACGCGUACAUUUUAUUUUAUUUUUUUCCUAAAGGCAAAUCAGAUAUAUUAAAUUCGAAGAGAAAGGUUAGCAUCAUGGGUCAGGGUGUUAAACAAAAAUUCUGGCCCAAUACAAUCCCAAACAAACUCUCUACCCUCCUUAAAAACAAACUUGGCCACCGAGUGAGCAGCAGGAUUGCUCUCUCUAGGCGCGAAGAUGAAAGACACGGCAUACAUUUUAUUGAAAGAUGCUUUACAGAAAAUGCUUUUGGACAAACUUCUCUUUUAAUUAAGCAUAUUUAAAAGAAAAUUUUAAAGCAACAGCAUUAUCAAUUAUAGAGCAUUAUCAAUUUCACAAAGUGCCAUGGCUGAAUCACUGAAGCUUCUAAAUCACGUGCCGCGCAUGUACUUGUGAGAGAGGCCUUUCCCCUGUAUCUUUGACUGGGACCUUUGUCAACCCAUUGUCGCGGCUGGUGAUGCCGGUGAUGAGGGGGAUACGGUGUUCCGGUGUCUCGUUAGCGAAGUCGUUAGGGAUUAAGGAUAUUCAAUGUGAAGUGGGUUUCUCCCAAAACACAGCAGUUCAAAACGCAAAGUUCAAAUUGGAAGGGUGAGAGAGAAAGGAGGAGACGGAUGGUUGCGGUGCGAUGGAGGUGUUCUGGUUCUUCAAGUUCCAUAUUUGUUUUUAUUUUGGAUGAUUUUAGAUAUGAUCCCUAUUUAUCAACGUUUUAAACUUUAUUGUACUAUUUUCUAUUGAAAUUCUUGAAAUUAAUGUAAUAAUACAUUUUUACCUAGGUUAUUAUAAUUUUUAAAUUAAAAUUUGAUAUUUAUAAUUAUUUAUAUUAAUAAGAUUUUAAAUAAAAUUUAUAAUUUGUUGAAAAUAUUAAUAAAAAAAUUUAUAUUUAAAUAAAAUCUAUAAUUUAUCAUUACUUAUAUUAAUGACAUUUUAUACAUAAAUAAUUGGUAAUUUUAUACGAUACAUUUUAUAAACAAAAAGUUGGUAUAUUUUACAGAAAAAAAAGAUAAUACGGUACAUUUCAUAUAAAAAACAAUGGAAAACUAAUGAAAAAGGCUUGAAAAUUUUGAGUUUUAAUGAUAAAUACAAAAUAAAGGGUGAAGUGAAUAGGACUAGGAUUAACUUUUUAGUAUAAAAAUAUGAUUUUUCGUUAAAGUAAAUAGUACAAGAUGCUUUUCGUUAAAGUUUCCAAAAAAAACAAUGGCAUGUUUUCACGUGUCUUUACAGUGAUCCUAAUUUAAAAUUCAGAAAGAACCCACAUGUUUUCUCCUUUUCUUUUCCGCGUGACCCCUGUCUGUCCUUUCUCUUUCCUUUCCGCGUGACCUCUGUCUUUCCUUUCUCUUUCCUUUUUCUUCUCAAUUAUUUUCUGUCUCGAUCUCUCUCAAUUAUUUUCCACAUCUCUCUCCUUCACAUACUCUCUCUCUCUCAUCUUCUCUCUUCUUCUCCCUCAAACCGAAGCUCUCACUUCUCCUCUGCAACCUAAGACAAAUCACCAAAGUCGACGAACCGACGUUCAAAUUACCACCAUCGUACUCCUUUCAUCCUCACUAACUCAACCAUAUAAACGG